GACGACGACUCCUACGGGAGGCAGCAGUGGGGAAUAUUGCACAAUGGGCGCAAGCCUGAUGCAGCCAUGCCGCGUGUAUGAAGAAGGCCUUCGGGUUGUAAAGUACUUUCAGCAGUGAGGAAGGUGGGUAUGUUAAUAGCAUAUUCAUUUGACGUUAGCUGCAGAAGAAGCACCGGCUAACUCCGUGCCAGCAGCCGCGGUAAUACGGAGGGUGCGAGCGUUAAUCGGAAUUACUGGGCGUAAAGCGCAUGCAGGUGGUUUGUUAAGUCAGAUGUGAAAGCCCGGGGCUCAACCUCGGAAUUGCAUUUGAAACUGGCAAACUAGAGUACUGUAGAGGGGGUAGAAUUUCAGGUGUAGCGGUGAAAUGCGUAGAGAUCUGAAGGAAUACCGGUGGCGAAGGCGGCCCCCUGGACAGAUACUGACACUCAGAUGCGAAAGCGUGGGGAGCAAACAGGAUUAGAUACCCUGGUAG
rnacentral:rRNA from 1 species